rnacentral:sRNA from 1 species
GGCAAAAGUGCAAGGCAGAGGCUGAGACGGAGUGAAAAAGGGACGCACUCUGGCUUUCCUCCAUUCUUUGAGAUCCUCCUACCCCCUGUGCAAAAGUACUGAUCAUUCAAGGACAGCUGAAACUGCCCAGGGUUGUGCUGACCGAAUGAGCAGAGGUUAGCUACCAGCAGGCAGUACCAUUCAUCCUUGCAGAGAAGACUCAGAGGCUGCUGGGAGUUUAUGUGUGUCACGUGACACCACGACAGAAGACACGAACACACUACCUCAUGCUGGUGGGUGUCAGUCUGUACUUGAGGGCAUCGGAACAGAAGAGGAGCGUAAUCAUGGAGUCCUGGAAUGUGUGCCAAGUGUCAUGUUGGGAGCCUGCCUCUGCCGUCAUGGUCCCUCACCCUGGAAGGCUGCAGGGGAAGACACAGCCCCAGGGAAAUCAAGUCAAGUUCAUUCAGCAUUCAGUCUCAGGCUGCUGGCUAGAGGAGAUAGUGAGAGUGCUGAGUAUGGACACUCUUGGCUGCUUCCUCUUCCUUUGCUCCAUUUGGUUGAGAGGAGAAAUUGAGUCCCUGUAGCAAGACUUACAAACCAGUAGCUGAAGAGGAACAGCUAUGUCUGG